rnacentral:lncRNA from 12 species
AUCCUCCGGUGCCCUGCUCCUGUUCUUGCCCUUGCUCCGAUUUCUCUGUAUUGAUUCCAGAGAAAUUCUAGGCUCUCGAGACUGUGCCCCUGGAUUGCCCAAGUGCCUUUAAGGUCUAACCACACCUUCAGGGCUGGGAGGGUGCUGGUGAGGAUGCACCAGUGUGCCAGUCUGUGCGCUGCGCUGCUGCAGCGCAGACUGUCUGUGGCAGCCCCAGAGAUGCCUUUGGUUGGGGGCAUUGACUGUCUAUAGAGAUGGUAAUGACCCAGGAGGCCUGGCCAAGUCCAGGGCUGGAAGGGGCUGGCACAAGGAGGUGGGGGUGACUCUGGUAUCUGCUGGCUGCCCUGUCCUUGUGGCAGAGGCAGAAACCCCUGAGAACCCACAGCUCCACCCACCCUCUGUGCCAGUUCAGCCAAGGGCAAGGGCACCAGGCGUGCCUUGCAGAUGUUCCAGUUGGCUGUGAGUUGAGAAGGAGAAAAAGGAGGGAAAAAGAGAAAUGGAAGCUCUGCGAACAGGCUGGCGGGCCAAGUGGACCGCACGCAGGAUGCAGAGGCGUCAAGGUGAUGAGGAGGAGGAUGCAGCGGCAGGUGAGCUUGGCCAGCAGGUCAGGGAAGCGUAGGGUAAGUCUGCAGUUGGCUGCCUUGGCAGCAGGAGGGCUUGAGGCAAGA